GGAACCGUAGUGAUGGGACAAGGGGUAACGGGUUAAAACUUAAACAGGGGAAGUUCAGGUUAGAUAUAAGGAAGAAGUUCUUUACUGUAAGGGUGGUGAAGCACUGGAAUGGGUUGCCCAAGGAAGCUGUGAAUGCUCCAUCCCUGACAGUGUUCAAGGCCAGGUUGGACAGAGCCUUGGGUGCCGUGGUUUAGUGUGAGGUGUCCCUGCCCAUGGCAGGGGGCUUGGAACUGGAUGAUCUUAAGGUCCUUUCCAACCCUAACUAUUCUAUGAUUCUAUGCCGCUGGUUUUAAUGGGUAUGAGGAAAGAGAAAGGACUACUUAAUUUUAAAGGGGAAGGGAAGGAGUCUUGUGAAUACCCCAGAUUGUGGUCAGUCUCUUGGGCUCAGAUUGUGAGCCCGCUGCACUCUGUGCUGUUCUAGGGCAAACACACUGCCUUAGUCUGCUGCUUGUAGAUCACCAAUAAUUUUUCCAUUAUUAAAAUUGCUCUUUGUAGUUGCAUGCAAAUAAAAUCUGUUUUUAACAUACUAUCAAGCAAUCACUGAUAGGCAUUUUCAGGGUGCUUGUGAUACUCAUUCCAUAAUAUUUCAGGAACAGGUAUCCUAAAACCAAGGGCUUGAUAUUUAUGCCAAAAUUACCUUAUUCCUAAAUUUUAAUAAGAAGAAUAAAUUUAUUUUAAUGGCCUCUUAAGUAACUGAUUCAAAGUUGUUAUGGGCUCAUACUCUAAUAAUGUUUACAAGACUUGUAAUUCUGUCACUCCUGAAGCAGAAGAAGGAAUCUAGUUUCCAUCAGCCUGAAUCUGUACCCAUAAACUUCACUUUUUCUAUUACCUUUUCAUAUGUUGGUUUUAGUCUUGUUGCAGUUAGACGGUCACAGCUUUGAAAACAUCAACAAAACCAUUACAGAAUAAGAAUUUUCUGUUUAUGAAAACAGUAAACCAGGAGUUAAUCCUUAAGGGGUUUUCCUUAAUGAACAGAUGCAGCAUUAGGACCAGACAUAGGAAUCAAGACAAGAAACUCUGUCUCUGCCUUUUUCAAGUGACACAGACAUAUGCAAUGUCAGCCUUUUGAUCUGUGUCCCUGCUGUAGUAGGUUUUAUGUGCAUAAAGAAUAUGCAGUACUUAAAUGUCAGACUCUGGUGGUAAUAUUGGGUAUUUUGUUUCUAAUUACUUCUAUUUUAAAGGAGAAUCCCUGUCGUUCAUACCCUCAUAUGAAUCCACUCUCUAAAGAAGGCUCAGCCAACAAAGCAUUUAAAAACUGGCUUCAGCAUAUCAAUAUACGGAUAUCAAAGCAAGUUCUAGUUUCUUGCAGUAUUUAUACCUACUGCUUACAGAGUACAUUUUUCUCUGGGAAUAACUGACUUCACAGUGUUGUGACGGUUAAACUCACACUAUGUCUGGGGCCCUGCUCAGAUAUUUACUUCUUUUUGGCAAUCAUAUACUCUUUUAAGAUUUUUAAACUGUAAAAAUACUUAUGUAAACUAGUACCUAUAAAACAUAACACUGUCUAGCUGUGUAAUACAAGAUUUGCAAAUAUGUACAUGUUUGUGUUAAUAUCCUAUUUUUAUAUGAAUGUAUAUAUUUCUGAAGUGGAUAAACUUUCAAUGCCAGUUCACCAAA